GAUCGAACGGCGUAGCUACAGGCUUAACACAUGCAAGUCGAGGGGCGAGCGAUAGGGCUUAGCUUGCUAAGCCCGAUGGCGACCGGCGCACGGGUGAGUAACACGUAUCCAACCUUCCGGUAACUCCGGUAUAGCCUUUCGAAAGAAAGAUUAAUCCCGGAUAGUAUGGUGAUUCCGCAUGGUUUCUCCAUUAAAGGAUUCCGGUUACCGAUGGGGAUGCGUUCCAUUAGGCAGUUGGCGGGGUAACGGCCCACCAAACCUACGAUGGAUAGGGGUUCUGAGAGGAAGGUCCCCCACAUUGGAACUGAGACACGGUCCAA
rnacentral:rRNA from 1 species